AUUUCAAAAGCCCCAACUUUUCAAAUCCCGAACAAAACCUACUUCUCUCCCCUUUCCAAAAUUCAAACCCACCUUUUUAGUAAACAACAAUCUAUUCUCUCAAACCCUAGCCUCCUCCACAUCUCCAAUAUUCCCCAUCCGGACUCUUCCCCUGCACGCGAAGAACUAGAAACACACAGAUUAGAAGAAACCCUAACCGAAUCAAUCAUCCACGUUUGUUUCGUUACCAUCACAAAAUCAAUCAUCCACGUUUCUAUCUCAGAUCUGCCGUUUAAUUCAUCUCGCAUCCAUCCACGUUCUGAUUUCAUAAUGGAAUCAAGCAUCCAUUUUAAAAUCUCAGAUUUCUGGUUUAAUCUUCAAAACUGUUAAAUGACGGAUGGUUUGUGCAGGGAGCUUUUGAAGUUAGGAUUUAAUGUUUGAGCUGGGGUACGAAGUAUCCAGAGCAGAAUAUAUGGUGGUUGACGGUGUUCUACGAACAGCAGGGGGUGGGUUCCGGCGAGUCAAACUUGACACGGCGAUGGCUAUGGAUUCCGGCAAUAUGUAGCUUAAGAAGUCAUGUCUUAGAUAUGUGUUUUGGUUUCUGGUGGAUUUGGAGAUUUUGGUGUGAAGGGAAUGAUACUAGCUGCCAAAUAUGCCUAAGAGAAUAAAGUCCCAAAACCUUAAUCUGGUGAGAGUUGUAGAUCCAGUCACUAAGAACCAAGUUAUCAAGGUUGUGGGUUUGACUAACCAAGGUUUAAAAGAACGGAAACGAGUUUCGAGGCGUUUUCCCUUCGCCUCACGAGGCGUAAACCUCGAGGCGAAACGCGGCGUAAGGCUGAGGCGGUAUUAAUAAAUAAAUAUAAAAAUUAUAUAUAUUAUAAAAAAAUAAUACUAACUAAUUUCAUAAUCAGAUUCAUCAAAAUCAUCAAAAACACACUUAAAAAAGACAUGAAAUGCUUGAAAUUAACACAUAAAGUCAAAAACAUCAAAAAUAACUAUCAAAAUCCCCUGAGGCUCAGCUUUCUUAGCGCCUCAGCCCCUCUGAGGCGCAUAUAUAUUAAAAACACCAUGAGGCGCGCCUCAGACUCGUUUUUUGGUCGUUUCGCCUCGAGACGCGCAUUGAGUAAAGAGUUAGGACAUCAUCUUAAUUGUGUUUAAUAACGAUGCCCCUUUAAAGAAAUUAACAACGAUUUGAUUAUAGUUUUUAUUUUAGAGUUAAUUACACAAAUAGGUCCUGUGGUUUAUACCUAAUUUCGCCUUUGGGUACUAACUUUAUUUUUUAACAGAUUUAGGUUCUAUGGUUUU